GUAUGGGAAGAACAGCUAGAAUAGGAAAUGAUUUUAGUUUGACGGUACCAUACCAGAAAGGGACGGCUAAAUACGUGCCAGCAGCCGCGGUAAUACGUAUGUCCCGAGCGUUAUCCGGAUUUAUUGGGCGUAAAGCGAGCGCAGACGGUUUAUUAAGUCUGAUGUGAAAGCCCGGAGCUCAACUCCGGAAUGGCAUUGGAAACUGGUUAACUUGAGUGCAGUAGAGGUAAGUGGAACUCCAUGUGUAGCGGUGGAAUGCGUAGAUAUAUGGAAGAACACCAGUGGCGAAGGCGGCUUACUGGACUGCAACUGACGUUGAGGCUCGAAAGUGUGGGUAGCAAACAGGAUUAGAUACCCUGGUAGUCCACACCGUAAACGAUGAACACUAGGUGUUAGGAGGUUUCCGCCUCUUAGUGCCGAAGCUAACGCAUUAAGUGUUCCGCCUGGGGAGUACGACCGCAAGGUUGAAACUCAAAGGAAUUGACGGGGACCCGCACAAGCGGUGGAGCAUGUGGUUUAAUUCGAAGCAACGCGAAGAACCUUACCAGGUCUUGACAUCCUUUGAAGCUUUUAGAGAUAGAAGUGUUCUCUUCGGAGACAAAGUGACAGGUGGUGCAUGGUCGUCGUCAGCUCGUGUCGUGAGAUGUUGGGUUAAGUCCCGCAACGAGCGCAACCCUUAUUGUUAGUUGCCAGCAUUCAGAUGGGCACUCUAGCGAGACUGCCGGUGACAAACCGGAGGAAGGCGGGGACGACGUCAGAUCAUCAUGCCCCUUAUGACCUGGGCUACACACGUGCUACAAUGGCGUAUACAACGAGUUGCCAACCCGCGAGGGUGAGCUAAUCUCUUAAAGUACGUCUCAGUUCGGAUUGUAGUCUGCAACUCGACUACAUGAAGUCGGAAUCGCUAGUAAUCGCGGAUCAGCACGCCGCGGUGAAUACGUUCCCGGGUCUUGUACACACCGCCCGUCACACCAUGGGAGUUUGUAAUGCCCAAAGCCGGUGGCCUAACCUUUAGGAAGGAGCC
rnacentral:rRNA from 1 species